AGAGUUGAUCCUGGCUCAGGACGAACGCUGGCGGCCGUGCUUAACACAUGCAAGUCGAGCGGUGAACCCUUCGGGGGGAUCAGCGGCGAACGGGUGAGUAACACGUGAGCAACCUGCCCUGACUCUGGGAUAGCCUCGGGAAACCGGGUUAACCGGAUAUGACAUUGCCUCGCAUCGGGGGUGGUGUGGAAGUUGCGGCAGGGAUGGGACUCGCGGCCCUAUAAGCUUGUUGGGGGGGGGUGAUGGCCUACCAAGGCGAACGAAGGUAGCCGGCAUGAGAGGGUUGACCGGCCACACUGGGACUGAGACACGGCCCAGACUCCUACGGGACGGCAGCAGUGGGGAAUAUUGCGCAAUGGGCGAAAGCCUGACGCAGCGACGCCGCGUGAGGGAGGAAGGCCUAGGGUUGUAAACCUCUUUCAGCAGGGAAGAGCGAAACGUACGGUACCUGCAGAGAAAGCACCGGCUAACUAAGUGCAGCAGACGCGGUAAGACGAGGUGCAAGCGUGUCCGGAAUAUUGGAGUUAAAGAGCUCUGUAGGCGGUUUGUCGCGUCUGCUGUGAAAAGCGGGGCCUCAACUCCGCGCAUGCAGUGGGUAACGGGCAGACCUAGAGUGCAGUAGGGGAGACUGGAAGGAAAUAUCCUGGUGGGUAGCGGGGGAAGGCGCAGAUAUCAGGCGGAACACCGGUGGCAAGGCGGGUCCUGGGUGUAACUGAGCUGAGGAGCGAAAGCGUGGGACGCGAACAGAUUAGUACCUGGUAGUCACGCCGUAAACGUUGGGCGCUAGGUGGGGGGCUAAUUCCCGAUGUUCGUGCUCGCAGAGCAAAACGGCAUAAGCGCCCCGCCUGGGGAGUACGGCCGCAAGGCUAAAACUCAAAGGAAUUGACGGGGCCCCGCACAAGCGGCGGAGCAUGCGGAUUAAUUCGAAAUGCAACGCGAGACCUUACCAGGCUUGCUGCAGGAACCGGCGAGAUGUCGGGUCCGCAAGGGAUCUUGCACAGGUGGUGCAUGGUUGUCGUCAGCUCGUGUCGUGAGAUGUUGGGUUAAGUCCCGCAACGAGCGCAACCUCGUCCUAUGUUGCCAGCGCGUGAUGGCGGGGAAUAUAGGAGACUGCCGGGGUCAACUCGGGAGGAGGUGGGGAGACGUCAAAUCACAUGACCCUUAUGUCUGGGCUUCAGCAUGCUAAAAUGGCCAGUACAAGGGCUGCGAGACCGUGAGGGUGAGCUGAAUCCCACAAAAAGCUGGUCUCAGUUCGGAUCGGGUCUGCACUCGAUCCGCGUGAAGGCGGAGAUUCGCGAGUCAUCCGCAGCAUCAGCCAAACGCUGCGUGAAUACGUUCCCGGGGCUUGUACACACCGCCCGUCACGUCACGAAAGUUGGUAACACCCGAAGCGGUGGCCUACCCGUAAGGGAGGGAGCUGUCGAAGGGUGUGGACUGGCGAUUGGGACGAAGUCGUAACAAGGUAGCCGUACCGGAAGGUGCGGCUG
rnacentral:rRNA from 1 species